rnacentral:rRNA from 1 species
UUGGCGGACGGGUGAGUAACACGUGAGCAACCUGCCUUCGAGAGGGGAAUAACGGCUGGAAACGGUCGCUAAUACCGCAUAACAUACAGGAGGGACAUCCCUUUUGUAUCAAAGAUUUAUCGCUCGAAGAUGGGCUCGCGUCCGAUUAGGUAGUUGGUGAGGUAACGGCCCACCAAGCCGACGAUCGGUAGCCGGACUGAGAGGUUGAACGGCCACAUUGGGACUGAGACACGGCCCAGACUCCUACGGGAGGCAGCAG